AGCGAACGCUGGCGGCAGGCCUAACACAUGCAAGUCGAACGGGCCCCUUCGGGGGUCAGUGGCAGACGGGUGAGUAACGCGUGGGAACGUGCCCUUCAGUUCGGAACAACCCAGGGAAACUUGGGCUAAUACCGGAUACGCCCUUCGGGGGAAAGAUUCAUCGCUGAAGGAUCGGCCCGCGUCUGAUUAGCUUGUUGGUGGGGUAAUGGCCCACCAAGGCGACGAUCAGUAGCUGGUCUGAGAGGAUGAUCAGCCACCCUGGGACUGAGACACGGCCCAGACGCCUGCGGGAGGCAGCAGUGGGGAAUAUUGGACAAUGGGCGAAAGCCUGAUCCAGCCAUGCCGCGUGAGUGAUGAAGGCCCUAGGGUUGUAAAGCUCUUUCGGCGGGGACGAUAAUGACGGUACCCGCAGAAGAAGCCCCGGCUAACUUCGUGCCAGCCGCCGCCGUAAGAC
rnacentral:rRNA from 1 species